GAUGAAGAACGUAGCGAAAUGCGAUAAGUAAUGUGAAUUGCAGAAUUCAGUGAAUCAUCGAAUCUUUGAACGCACAUUGCGCCCGCCAGUAUUCUGGCGGGCAUGCCUGUCCGAGCGUCAUUUCAACCCUCAAGCCCCAGCCGGCUUGGUGUUGGGGACCGGCCCCGGCCGCCCCCCAAAUGCAGUGGCGACCUCGCCGCAGCCUCCCCUGCGUAGUAGCACAACCUCGCACCGGAGCGCGGAGACGGCCACGCCGUAAAACGCCCAACUUCUCAGAGUUGACCUCGGAUCAGGUAGGAAUACCCGCUGAACUUAAGCAUAUCAAUAAGCGGAGGA
rnacentral:misc_RNA from 1 species